rnacentral:rRNA from 1 species
CAAGUCGAACGCGAAAGUCCCGCAAGGGAUAAGUAGAGUGGCAAACGGGUGAGUAACGCGUGGGUGACCUGCCUUCGAGCGGGGGAUAACGUUCCGAAAGGGACGCUAAUACCGCAUAACAUUCCGUCUUUGAAUAGAUGGUAAUCAAAGCUGGGGAUCGCAAGACCUAGCACUCGAAGAGGGGCCCGCGUCCGAUUAGCUAGUUGGUGAGGUAACGGCUCACCAAGGCAACGAUCGGUAGCCGGCCUGAGAGGGCGGACGGCCACACUGGGACUGAGACACGGCCCAGACUCCUACGGGAGGCAGCAGUGGGGAAUUGUUCGCAAUGGGCGCAAGCCUGACGACGCAACGCCGCGUGGAGGAUGAAGAUCUUCGGGUCGUAAACUCCUGUCGAAUGGGACGAAUGGGUGGCGGGUUAACAGCCCGCAACCGUGACGGUACCGUUAAAGGAAACCCCGGCUAACUCCGUGCCAGCAGCCGCGGUAAUACGGGGGGGGUAAGCGUUGUUCGGAAUUACUGGGCGUAAAGGGCUCGUAGGCGGCCAACUAAGUCAGACGUGAAAUCCCUCAGCUUAACUGGGGAACUGCGUCUGAUACUGGAUGGCUUGGAUUUGGGAGAGGGAUGCGGAAUUCCAGGUGUAGCGGUGAAAUGCGUAGAUAUCUGGAGGAACACCGGUGGCGAAGGCGGCAUCCUGGACCAAUAUUGACGCUGAGGAGCGAAAGCCAGGGGAGCAAACGGGAUUAGAUACCCCGGUAGUCCUGGCCCUAAACGAUGAAUGCUUGGUGUGGCGGGUAUCGAUCCCUGCCGUGCCGAAGCUAACGCAUUAAGCAUUCCG